CACGUAGGGGGCGAGCGUUGUCCGGAUUUAUUGGGCGUAAAGAGCUCGUAGGUGGCUCGGUAAGUCGGGUGUGAAAUUUCGAGGCUCAACCUCGAGACGCCACCUGAUACUGCUGUGGCUAGAGUCCGGUAGGGGAGCGUGGAAUUCCUGGUGUAGCGGUGAAAUGCGCAGAUAUCAAGAGGAACACCAGCGGCGAAGGCGGCGCUCUGGGCCGGUACUGACACUGAGGAGCGAAAGCGUGGGGAUCAAACAGG
rnacentral:rRNA from 1 species